AUGACGCUCCUAAGCUGGAACUCCCGGGGCCUUGGGCAGCCCCGAACAGUUCAGGAGCUGGUGUGCCUCGUGCACACUUAUAAGCCUAAGAUCAUUUUCCAUUCAUAGACUCGGCAAAAGAAUAAGUAUGUUAGGAAUUUGCGAUGGAGGCUAGGUCUUAAGCAUUGUAUCAUCCAACCCGGUGUAGGAAAGGGUGGUGGCUUAGCUAUGUUUUAUGAUGAAAGCGUUGAGAUAAUAAAGAUUGCCGAGGGUUUGAGGUACAUCGAUGUGUUAACCGCCUAA
rnacentral:rRNA from 1 species